rnacentral:rRNA from 1 species
AAUCAACGCUGGCGGCGUGCCUAACACAUGCAAGUCGAACGAGAAAGUGGGGGCAACCCUGCGAGUACAGUGGCAGACGGGUGAGUAACACGUGAACAACCUACCCUUGAGUGGGGAAUAACACCGCGAAAGCGGUGCUAAAACCGCAUAAAAUCCUUUUAUCGCAUGGUGAAGGGAUCAAAAGCGCAAGAUGCUUGGGGAGGGGUUCGCGGCUGAUUAGCUAGUUGGUGAGGUAACGGCCCACCAAGGCAACGAUCAGUAGCCGGCCUGAGAGGGCGAACGGCCACACUGGAACUGAGACACGGUCCAGACUCCUACGGGAGGCAGCAGUGGGGAAUUUUGCGCAAUGGGCGAAAGCCUGACGCAGCAACGCCGCGUGGAGGAUGAAGGCCUUCGGGUCGUAAACUCCUGUCGAUGGGGACGAAAGCCUAGCAAUAGGAUUGACUGUACCCGUUGAGGAAGCCACGGCUAACUCCGUGCCAGC